CAAGUCGAACGGCAGCACGGACUUCGGUCUGGUGGCGAGUGGCGAACGGGUGAGUAAUGUAUCGGAACGUGCCUAGUAGCGGGGGAUAACUACGCGAAAGCGUAGCUAAUACCGCAUACGCCCUACGGGGGAAAGCAGGGGAUCGCAAGACCUUGCACUAUUAGAGCGGCCGAUAUCGGAUUAGCUAGUUGGUGAGGUAACGGCUCACCAAGGCGGCGAUCCGUAGCUGGUUUGAGAGGACGACCAGCCACACUGGGACUGAGACACGGCCCAGACUCCUACGGGAGGCAGCAGUGGGGAAUUUUGGACAAUGGGGGAAACCCUGAUCCAGCCAUCCCGCGUGUGCGAUGAAGGCCUUCGGGUUGUAAAGCACUUUUGGCAGGAAAGAAACGUCAUGGGCUAAUACCCCGUGAAACUGACGGUACCUGCAGAAUAAGCACCGGCUAACUACGUGCCAGCAGCCGCGGUAAUACGUAGGGUGCAAGCGUUAAUCGGAAUUACUGGGCGUAAAGCGUGCGCAGGCGGUUCGGAAAGAAAGAUGUGAAAUCCCAGAGCUCAACUUUGGAACUGCAUUUUUAACUACCGGGCUAGAGUGUGUCAGAGGGAGGUGGAAUUCCGCGUGUAGCAGUGAAAUGCGUAGAUAUGCGGAGGAACACCGAUGGCGAAGGCAGCCUCCUGGGAUAACACUGACGCUCAUGCACGAAAGCGUGGGAGCAAACAGG
rnacentral:rRNA from 1 species